rnacentral:rRNA from 1 species
AACAAACGCUGGCGGCGUGCCUAAUACAUGCAAGUCGAACGGGGAAAGUUCUUCGGAAUGAGUACUAGUGGCGUACGGGUGAGCAACACGUGGAUAAUCUUCCUUCAGGUGGGGAAUAACGAGUCGAAAGAUUCGCUAAUACCGCAUAAGACCACAGUAACUUUGGUUACAGGGGUUAAAGACUUCGGUCGCCUUUAGAUGAGUCUGCGUCCGAUUAGCUAGUUGGUGAGGUAAUGGCUCACCAAGGCGACGAUCGGUAACUGGUCUGAGAGGACGGCCAGUCACACUGGGACUGAGACACGGCCCAGACUCCUACGGGAGGCAGCAGUAGGGAAUUUUGCACAAUGGAGGAAACUCUGAUGCAGCGACGCCGCGUGAGUGAUGAAGGCCUUCGGGUCGUAAAG